ACCCAAGGGGAGCCGUCAAUUAGAGCCGUGCUUGAGCCUAAGGCUGACCUGAGCCGUUUGAAGGCAGAUCUUCCACGGAGCGCCCCGAUCCUUUUCUGGAAAGGUCAAAGGGACGAGAGGGGUCUCUGCAGUGUCCUGGAUCUGGUUUCAACCUCACCUUCUCCAUGGAUGAGAAAAAAAGUCAUUUGGAUUCACUGUGCCUCGGUGUCCCCAGACGGCAAGGAGGACUCAGUCUUUGGUACCUGGUCCAUCAGAGGACAAGCUUUCAUGUGUUAGCCAUCACCUCUGUCAUCACCAUCAUUGUCAUCAUCAUCGUCCUCAUCACUUCAACACGCUGAGCUUUGUAGCUUAAAAGCAAAGUGCCUUUAACAAUGUGGAAGAUGCCACCUUUGGGAUCAAAUGGGAGUUUGGGAUUAUUUCUAUUUUCUAAUUGUUCAGCCCCCUCCCACUAAGUGUGAAGCAUAGAGCCAUUAAGUUGAAAUGGAUUUUAUUCACCACAUGGGCCCUCAAAUCCUUUCUGGAACAAGAGUGGAUGUAAAAAUAAAUCAAAUAAAUACAUUUUCAGCGUGUGCAGCCCAACCCAGAGCUCCUUGCAGAUAACUUCUUCCUUUAAAGCACGUGGAGGCCAGCCAGCACCACUGGGAAAGUGGCAAAUAGAAAAGCCGGCUCUGGCCCCGGGCUGCAUUGGGGCAGUUGAUUGUACUCUUCGAUUCUCAGCACUUCAACACUGCUUGCCUCUUAAGGAUUUUCUGAAGGUCACUGAUGCUGACAGGGAGUGUGGAAAAAGGAUGUUUAUACCUGGGGCUGGGAGAUGCCCUCUCUCAGGCUGGAAGAGACUGGCAGAGCUGCCUGAUAAUGAGAACAGUGCCAUCCACGCCGUUCUGAGCACAUGGAAACUGAUCUCUUACUAGAACCAAGUCAACAAGAGCUACCCUUGGACUCUAGAUGCCUGGGAGGGUCUGGAGUCGUCGGGCAGAAGGAGAAGGUGGAGCGGGUCUUCCCAGAGGCCAGCUCCCACAGGGGCGGCCAAGGCUCUGGGCCUCUCGGCGUGCCUCUGCAGAUCCUGUUGGAUCCAGAACCGUCUGGAUCACCUGAAGAGUUAUUUGAAACCAGCUGAUUUUCCAAGGGGACAGUUGACAUGGGUGGGGAUAUCACAGGCAGGCGCAUUGGCUUCAGAAUUAGAGGCCAAAAGUGUGGACUCUCUCCAUCACUAACUCAGUUCUGCUCUCCAGCAAAACCCUUCGCAGCUCGGGCUAACCUGUCUGUGAGUGGAGGUGGGCAGCUCCUGUCUCAGAGUCCUGGUGGGGGUGAGGUGGAAGGCCCCGGGGGGGCACCCUACAGUGAACUCUGUAGCUCCCUCCCC
rnacentral:lncRNA from 1 species